AGCAGCCUACGGGACGCGGCAGUAGGAAAUCUUCCACAAUGGGCGAAAGCCUGAUGGAGCAACGCCGCGUGGGUGAAGAAGGUCUUCGGAUCGUAAAACCCUGUUGUUAGAGAAGAAAGUGCGUGAGAGUAACUGUUCACAUUUCGACGGUAUCUAACCAGAAAGCCACGGCUAACUACGUGCCAGCAGCCGCGGUAAUACGUAGGUGGCAAGCGUUAUCCGGAUUUAUUGGGCGUAAAGGGAACGCAGGCGGUCUUUUAAGUCUGAUGUGAAAGCCUUCGGCUUAACCUGAGUAGUGCAUUGGA
rnacentral:rRNA from 1 species